UACGUAGGGAGCAAGCGUUGUCCGGAAUCAUUGGGCGUAAAGCGCGCGUAGGCGGAUCUGCAAGUCGGGGGUGAAAUCCCGAGGCUCAACCUCGGAACUGCCUUCGAUACUGCGGGGUCUCGAGUCCGGGAGAGGUGAGUGGAAUUCCUAGUGUAGAGGUGAAAUUCGUAGAUAUUAGGAAGGAACACCAGUGGCGGAAGGCGGCUCACUGGCCCGGUACUGACGCUGAGGCGCG
rnacentral:rRNA from 1 species